rnacentral:rRNA from 1 species
AGGUUCGAUCCUGGCUCAGGAUGAACGCUAGCGGCAGGCUUAACACAUGCAAGUCGAGGGGCAUCGGGAGUAGCAAUACUUGCCGGCGACCGGCGCAAGGGUGCGUAACGCGUGAGCAACAUGCCCGUAUCAGGGGGAUAAUCCAUGGAAACGUGGUCUAAUACCCCAUAGUAAUUAUGUAAGGCAUCUUAUAUAAUUUAAAGCUUUGGUGGAUACGGAUUGGCCCGCGUGACAUUAGCUGGAUGGUAAGGUAACGGCUUACCAUGGCUACGAUGUCUAGGGGUUCUGAGAGGAAGGUCCCCCACACUGGAACUGAGACACGGUCCAGACUCCUACGGGAGGCAGCAGUGAGGAAUAUUGGACAAUGGAUGGAAAUCUGAUCCAGCCAUGCCGCGUGCAGGAAGACGGCCCUAUGGGUUGUAAACUGCUUUUGUAUGGGAGCAAUAAGGGCUACGUGUAGUCCGAUGAGAGUACCAUACGAAUAAGCACCGGCUAACUCCGUGCCAGCCGCCGC